rnacentral:tRNA from 1 species
UGGUUCAANUCCUCUAUCCCCA